rnacentral:rRNA from 1 species
CCUACGGGAGGCAGCAGUCGAGAAUCUUUCACAAUGGGGGCAACCCUGAUGGAGCGACGCCGCGUGGAGGAUAAGGUUUUCGGAUUGUAAACUCCUGUCAUGCGAGAGCAAAGCCCGCGAGGGUCUGAUAGUAUCGCAAGAGGAAGAGACGGCUAACUCUGUGCCAGCAGCCGCGGUAAUACAGAGGUCUCAAGCGUUGUUCGGAAUCACUGGGCGUAAAGGGUGCGUAGGUGGCGUGGAAAGUCAGAUGUGAAAUCCGGGGGCUCAACCCCCGAAUUGCAUCCGAUACUACCGUGCUAGAGAACUGAAGGGGGAUCUGGAAUUCUCGGGUGUAGCAGUGAAAUGCGUAGAUAUCGAGAGGAACACUAGUGGCGAAGGCGAGAUCCUGGGCAGUAUCUGACACUGAGGCACGAAGGCCAGGGGAGCGAACGGGAUUAGAUACCCCGGUAGUCCUGGCAGUAAACGGUGCGCGUUUGGUGUGGGGUGGUUCGACCCUCCCUGUGCCGUAGUAACACGUUCGCGCCGCCUGGGAAGUACGUCGGGAAGUACGGUCGCAAGAUUAAACUCAAAUGAAUUGACGGAAUGAAUUGACGG